rnacentral:rRNA from 1 species
GCCCGGAGAUAGCUGGUUCUCCCCGAAAUAGCUUUAGGGCUAGCCUCAAGGUGAGAGAUACGGAGGUAGAGCACUGAAUGUCCUAGGGGGUAUUGCACCUACCGAAGACUAUCAAACUCCGAAUGCCGUCAUCUUAUACUUGGGAGUCAGACUGUGGGUGAUAAGAUUCAUAGUCGAAAGGGCAACAGCCCAGAUCGUCAGCUAAGGUCCCUAAAUGUAAGUUAAGUGGUAAAGGAUGUGGGAUUGCACAGACAACCAGGAUGUUGGCUUAGAAGCAGCCACUCAUUCAAAGAGUGCGUAAUAGCUCACUGGUCGAGUGAUCCUGCGCCGAAGAUUUCCGGGGCUAAAACUUACUACCGAAGCUACGGCAUCAGUAAUGAUGGGUAGGGGAGCUUCCCAUACAGGUUGAAGCAUGACCGUAAGGACAUGUGGACAGUAUGGGAGUGAGAAUGUUGGCAUGAGUAGCGAGAUGUGGGUGAGAAUCCCACAGGCCGUAAACCCAAGGUUUCCAGGGGAAGGUUCGUCCGCCCUGGGUUAGUCGGGACCUAAGCU